ensembl:misc_RNA Metazoa_SRP Metazoan signal recognition particle RNA
GCUGGAUAUGGUGGUGUGUCUCUGUAAUCCCAGCUACUUGGGAGGCUGAGGCAGGAAAAUUUCUUGGGUCCAGGAGUUCUGGGCUGUAGUGAGUUAUGUGGCUAAGGUGUCUGCACUAAGUUUGGCAUUAACACAGUGACCUCCAGCAGUGGGGGACCAGCAGGCUGCCUAAGGAGAGAUGAACCUUUUGAGGAUGAAAAUGGAGCAAGUCAAAACUCCUGUGCUAAUUGGUAGUGGGAUUAUGCACAUGAAUAGCCACUACACUCCAGCCUGGGCAACAGAGAGAGACUCCAUCUCCU